AUUUGAUGAUGUGGGCAACUUGCACAAAGCUUCUUGAAACGCUCCCAAUAUUCAUACAGGGACUCUCCAUUGUAUUGCCUUAUACCACAUAUUUCCUUUCUAAUGUU
rfam:Ipomoea nil DNA, scaffold: scaffold2792, cultivar: Tokyo-kokei standard.